rnacentral:lncRNA from 1 species
UAAGUAUUUGUGAUUUAUUUUAUUUUUAAGGAUAUUUUCUAUUAUAAUUUGCUUUAUUUCGUAGAGUUAGAAAUAUCAAAAUAUUUCGAAUCGAAACGGCUGACUUUCAAAUCAAAAUUUACAGAAUUUUCCUCAUUCCUACUAUAAAGUGGCCUUUUUUUUUGCCAAUAACUUGAUUAUAUUUUUAGUUCAACAAUAUUCUUUUUUUUUUUUUGAAAUGGGGAACACAUUACAUCAUUAUAUAAUUUCUAACUCUAUUACAUAUUAUGAUCAACUAUUUGGAAUUUGAACUUCAGAUCUGUGUAUAGAAACUUUUAAACCUUAAUCAGUAGACUAUAGCGCUUCUAAAAUUCAACUAUAUACUCAUGUGGACUACUAUGUAGGUAGGAGAAGAAAGUCUCGAUAUUGAGCAACCUAUUUUAAAACACCUUUUAGAAAUUAGAUUGUUAAGAAAGACACAUCCAUUGUCACUUAAGGGAUGUAUUAAAAUUUCC